rnacentral:lncRNA from 1 species
UCGAAUAGCAAACAACACUCGCCUUAUAUACAUUUUCAUGCUUACCAAGAUGUAAUAUAACGAAGCGUAGCAUACACUACUUUAGGAAGUAAAUGUCCGAAACCAUUUGAUUGAUCCCGAUAAGUAUACAGUGGAGGCGCGUAGAAGAUGUAAGCAACUUACAAUUGAUGUUGAAGCGAUUUACAAAGAGGCGGAUGUCUUUCUUUAUCUAAACGACCUGCUAAACCUAACGUCAAAUUGUUAUGCUUGGAGGGAAAGCACAAAAACUGUUUCUCUCCUAAAGUCGACUUUAAUAAAAGAAUCCUCCUAUUUAUUUACAUGCUGCAAUUAUCCGACAAUUCAUACUUUUGAGAUGCUUCGUCAUACUUUUAAAACGUACAAAACAAUAAAGAAUUACUAAAUGAAAUUGCUCAUCAUAUAUCCGGCGUAUAAGUCAUGUCUUUACUACCUUUAUGGAAAGUUGCAUACAUUUUUUAGCGAUCAAUGGUAACAGGCGUGAACCGAUUGCAUCGGAAAUAUGGAUAUAAGCGUUCUACCAGAUAAUUUCUUGGUAUGUUACCGAUCAGCGUCUGCAAUGUCCGUAAUUUUUUGAUGGAUUAGGAUACUGACUACCGACACCCAAUAUUCUUUAUCUUAUUUUGUGGGGACUGAGGUAUCCAAGUCGCCGAAGAAUGAUCGAUGUAUCCAUCUUGCGAGAUAUUUGCAUGUCCAUGGAAAUAGAUUUUAUCAAUACUAAUUAAGAAGCCGCAAGUAGAGCCUUUCCUAACAAGGGCUUUAUGCAUCGCUUUAUAUACGCUGCUUCAAUUGUCAUUAGAUUUUUGUUAUGCAGUAAUGUUUAACAUUGUUUACCUUGAAACAAGAUCGUUGAACUGGAAAUGUAGUAAUACUUCAAGGACUCCUCGUGUCCUGUUUGUUGUUUAAUAUAAACAUACCAGGAAUUGAUUGGUAUAACAAUAACUGACUAGUAAAAAAAAUCUGAAAAGAAACACAUAUUAUUUAUAACACUGCAAUGUACCUAAAAACUGAAAUACUCGUUUUCCACUGCUGUCUUAUAGACUCAUUUGAAAGGGUUUCAGCGUUUUUGUAUGCAGUCAUCCUCCCUAUGAAACUAGUUGGCCAUAAAGCGGUAGUAAUUACUUUUGUUUUUCAAGCUAAUAGCGGAUGAGUAGAAGUACCAAAAAAUUUACAACAAACUUUAUCAAAAUAAC